rnacentral:tRNA from 1 species
GGCGACGUGGCCGAGUGGCUCAGGCAACGGCCUGCAAAGCCGUCCACAUGGGUUCGAUUCCCAUCGUCGCCUCCA